rnacentral:snRNA from 1 species
ACACUUACCUGAUGGGGAGACCCCAUGAUCACGAAGGUGGUUUUUCCAGGGCCAGGUUUAUCUUUUGCACUCCUAUGUGCUGACCCCUAUGGUUUUCCCAAAUGUGGGACACUCGUCUGCAGAAUUUGCUUUCAUACUCUCCCCUGAGGGAAAA